rnacentral:rRNA from 1 species
UAAGCGGUUGAAGGUGUGUGGUAACGCAUGCUGGACGUAUCAGAAGUGCGAAUGCUGACAUGAGUAACGAUAAAGGGGGUGAAAAACCUCCUCGCCGGAAGACCAAGGGUUCCUGUCCAACGUUAAUCGGGGCAGGGUAAGUCGACCCCUAAGGCGAGGCCGAAAGGCGUAGUCGAUGGGAAACGGGUUAAUAUUCCCGUACUUCUUACAAUUGCGAUGGGGGGACGGAGAAGGCUAGGUGGGCCUGGCGACGGUUGUCCAGGUUCAAGUGCGUAGGCUUAAGAGUUAGGUAAAUCCGGCUCUUUCUAAGGCUGAGACACGACGUCGAGCACCUACGGGUGUGAAGUCAUUGAUGCCAUGCUUCCAGGAAAAGCCUCUAAGCUUCAGAUUGUAAGGAAUCGUACCCCAAACCGACACAGGUGGUCGGGUAGAGAAUACCAAGGCGCUUGAGAGAACUCGGGUGAAGGAACUAGGCAAAAUGGUACCGUAA